UACGUAGGGGGCAAGCGUUGUCCGGAUUUAUUGGGCGUAAAGAGCGUGUAGGCGGCCAUACAGGUCAGCUGUGAAACUCGAGGCUCAACCUCGAGACGUCGGUUGAAACCGUAUGGCUAGAGUCCGGAAGAGGAGAGUGGAAUUCCCGGUGUAGCGGUGAAAUGCGCAGAUAUCGGGAAGAACACCCGUGGCGAAGGCAGGUCGUCUGGGCCGAGUACUGACGCUGAGGAGCGAAAGCGUGGGAGCGAACGAGGA
rnacentral:rRNA from 1 species